ACCCAGCCGACGAGUCCCAAAUAGGACGAAACGCGCGUCCUGGAU
rnacentral:hammerhead_ribozyme from 1 species